rnacentral:rRNA from 1 species
UACGGGGGGUGCGAGCGUUGUCCGGAAUCAUUGGGCGUAAAGAGUUCGUAGGCGGCGUAUUAAGUUUGAUGUUAAAUUCCGGGGCUUAACUUCGGUACGGCAUCGGAUACUGGUAUGCUAGAAUGCGGUAGAGGUAAAGGGAAUUUCUGGUGUAGCGGUGAAAUGCUUAGAUAUCAGGAAGAACAUCGGUGGCGUAAGCGCUUUACUGGGCCGUAAUUGACGCUGAGGAACGAAAGCCGGGGUAGCAAAU